AUCAACACCACCAUUGCUGCUACUGAUAGAGACAAAAACUUCAUUCUGUCUCUUCUCCUUGAUUUCUUGUAUUUCUACUAUUGUCCCCCCUUACUACAGUAAUACAAAUAAUGGGAUCUUGUUAUGGGUGGUGGUUGCUUGAAAGUGACUAUCAUUGAAGCAUUGAAUUUUAAUACUUUAAUUACGGGUAGUAGUCAUUGCCUUUUUUUGUUAGGGCGAUGUUAGUUGACAAAUGAUGAUUUAGACAAAUUUAAUGAGUUAGUAGUAAUUUAAAUAAAUUAAAGAGCAUUAAUUACACAGCCUCCCUCUCUUUUUCAAUCUCCUUUUUUUAUAGACUUAAAAGUCCAAAAUUUUAGUUGAGAUUUUCAUGGUAAAUUAGCAAUAGAACUUAUCUCUUUUUCAUUUAUUUAUUUUCAAUAAAUUCAAAACCAUUCUUGAUAGAUAUGCAUUUCUUCUUUUAUUUAUUUCAUUUUGUUGAGUUUUAUUUUUUAUAUUAGAAAUAUGAAUUGGAUCACACAUGUGGAUCAAUCUAAAUUUAUAGUUUUCUAUUUUAUGAAAUUAAAAGAAUGUAAUGAAUUUGCAGAUAUACAAAGAGUUGUAUCUAUAUAUAUAUAAAAAUGUAUUUAUACAAAAAGUUGUGCUCGUUGGCGAAAAAUUUGCCAUGUUAAAUAUAUAAAUAGUCA
rnacentral:misc_RNA from 1 species